rnacentral:rRNA from 1 species
AGUGAACGCUGGCGGUAGGCCUAACACAUGCAAGUCGAACGGCAGCACAGUAAGAGCUUGCUCUUACGGGUGGCGAGUGGCGGACGGGUGAGGAAUACAUCGGAAUCUACUUUUUCGUGGGGGAUAACGUAGGGAAACUUACGCUAAUAUCGCAUACGACCUACGGGUGAAAGCAGGGGAUCUUCGGACCUUGCGCGAUUGAAUGAGCCGCUGUCGGAUUAGCUAGUUGGCGGGGUAAAGACCCACCAAGUCGACGAUCCGUAGCUGGUCUGAGAGGAUGAUCGGCCACACUGGAACUGAGACACGGUCCAGACUCCUACGGGAGGCAGCAGUGGGGAAUAUUGGACAAUGGGCGCAAGCCUGAUCCAGCCAUACCGCGUGUGUGAAGAAGGCCUUCGGGUUGUAAAGCCCUUUUGUUGGGAGAGAAAAGCAUCAGGUUAAUACCCCGCUGUUCUGACGGUACCCGAAGAAUAAGCACCGGCUAACUUCGUG